rnacentral:rRNA from 1 species
AUGCAAGCGCGCCGAAGAAAGAAUUUCAUCCAUGCAAUCAGUAGCAGCAACAGAGUGGUGGUUGAUCAUCAUGAGAAGGAGAAGCUCAUCUUCGAUCACUUCUCUGAAGCCCUGGGUCGAAGCAAACAAAGACGCUGCACCCUGAACUCGGACAUGCUAAACGUCCCAGCUGUGACCUCAUCGGAGCUUGACGACCUGUUCACCAUGGCCGAGGUUUGGGCGGCGAUACUAGCCUCCCCCAUGGAAAAGGCACCGGGCCUGGACGGUUUCACAGGGCAGUUUUAUCGCUCUUGCUGGCCGAUUAUCAAGGAGGAGGUCAUGGCUAUCUUUGACAAGUUUUAUCAGAUGGCUGGGAGCAACUUCGCUAAGCUUAACUAUGCACUCAUUGCCCUCCUGCCGAAAAAGUGGUGUGUCAGAGAUCAACCACUACAGGCCCAUCAGUCUGAUUCACUCCAUGGCUAA